CAAACUAUAUAUCUUGAAAUUGAGGAUUAUCAUACGAGUAUGCUAGGGUUAUACUAGCAUAAUCGUUUCAGCGAUGUUGAGGCGAUGGUUACGAAACUCGGGGGACCGAAAGAGGUGACCUAUAGGCAAGUACCAUCAACUAAAAUAGGGCAAUGUGGGGGAGGAGAAAGAGAAGUUAAGUCAUUUCUUUUCAAAUGUUUCUUUCAAUCGUAUAUGAGUACAUUAGAUUAAGAAAUAGGUAUAAAUACACAAGUCAAAUCAUUUACUAAAAAUUUGUAAUAGCAUAAUUAAUAUAUAGUACAACAAGUUGUGCACAGCAUUUUUGUCACAUACUUGCAAGUUGUGAUGGGGGUAAGUAAAUGCAUAUGUAUGAGAUACUUCAUUUUG
rnacentral:lncRNA from 1 species